UCAUGUUUUUUCAGACUUGAUGACACACUGAAUCUCUUGUCACAUUGUGAACACUUGUAAGGUUUCUCUCCAGUGUGAAUCCUCUCAUGUGUUAUCAGAUUUGAUGACACACUAAAUCUCUUGUCACAGUGUGAACACUUGUAAGGUUUCUCUCCAGUGUGAAUCCUCUCAUGUGUUAUCAGACUUGAUGACACACUGAAUCUCUUGUCACAGUGUGAACACUUGUAAGGUUUCUCUCCAGUGUGGAUCCUCUCAUGUGUUUUCAGAUUUGAUGACACACUAAAUCUCUUGUCACAGUGUGAACACUUGUAAGGUUUCUCUCCAGUGUGGAUCCUCUCAUGGGUUUUCAGACUUGAUGACACACUGAAUCUCUUGUCACAGUGUGAACACUUGUAAGGUUUCUCUCCAGUGUGAAUCCUCUCAUGUGUUUUCAGCUCUAUUGACUGACUGAAUCUCUUGUCACAGUGUGAACACUUGUAAGGUUUCUCUCCAGUGUGGAUCCUCUCAUGUGUUAUCAGAUUUGAUGACACACUGAAUCUCUUGUCACAGUGUGAACACUUGUAAGGUUUCUCUCCAGUGUGAAUCCUCUCAUGUGUUUUCAGAUCUAUUGACUGACUGAAUCUCUUGUCACAUUGUGAACACUUGUAAGGUUUCUCUCCAGUGUGAAUCCUCUCAUGUGUUUUCAGAUGUGUUAACCGACUGAAUCUCUUGUCACAGUGUGAACACUUAUAAGGUUUCUCUCCAGUGUGGAUCAUCUCAUGCGUUUUCCGAUAUGCUCGACGAAUGAAUCUCUUGUUACAGUGUGAACACUUAUAAGGUUUCUCUCCAGUGUGCAUCAUCUCAUGCGUUUUCCGAUCUGCUCG